UAGAUAACCUGCCUCUAAGAUCGGGAUAACCUGUCGAAAGACGAGCUAAUACCAAAUGAGACCACAGCUUCUUCGGAAGCAAGGGUCAAAGGUAGCCUCUACUUGUAAGCUAUCACUUAGAGAUGGGCCUGCGUACCAUUAGCUAGUUGGUGGGGUAACGCCCACCAAGGCAAAGAUGGUUAGCUGGUCUGAGAGGAUGAUCAGCCACACUGGAA
rnacentral:rRNA from 1 species